rnacentral:rRNA from 1 species
CAAUAAGCGGAGGAAAAGAAACCAACAGGGAUUGCCCUAGUAACGGCGAGUGAAGCGGCAACAGCUCAAAUUUGAAAUCUGGCUCUCGGGCCCGAGUUGUAAUUUGUAGAGGAUACUUUUGAUGCGGUGCCUUCCGAGUUCCCUGGAACGGGACGCCAUAGAGGGUGAGAGCCCCGUCUGGUUGGAUGCCAAAUCUCUGUAAAGUUCCUUCAACGAGUCGAGUAGUUUGGGAAUGCUGCUCUAAAUGGGAGGUAUAUGUCUUCUAAAGCUAAAUACCGGCCAGAGACCGAUAGCGCACAAGUAGAGUGAUCGAAAGAUGAAAAGCACUUUGAAAAGAGAGUUAAAAAGUACGUGAAAUUGUUGAAAGGGAAGCGUUUAUGACCAGACUUGGGCUUGGUUAAUCAUCUGGGGUUCUCCCCAGUGCACUUUUCCAGUCCAGGCCAGCAUCAGUUUUCCCCGGGGGAUAAAGGCGGCGGGAAUGUGGCUCUCUUCGGGGAGUGUUAUAGCCCACCGUGUAAUACCCUGGGGGGGACUGAGGUUCGCGCAUCUGCAAGGAUGCUGGCGUAAUGGUCAUCAACGACCCGUCUUGAAACACGGACCAAGGAGUCGUCUUCGUAUGCGAGUGUUCGGGUGUCAAACCCCUACGCGUAAUGAAAGUGAACGCAGGUGAGAGCUUCGGCGCAUCAUCGACCGAUCCUGAUGUUCUCGGAUGGAUUUGAGUAAGAGCAUACGGGGCCGGACCCGAAAGAAGGUGAACUAUGCCUGUAUAGGGUGAAGCCAGAGGAAACUCUGGUGGAGGCUCGCAGCGGUUCUGACGUGCAAAUCGAUCGUCAAAUAUGGGCAUGGGGGCGAAAGACUAAUCGA